AUUGAACGCUGGCGGUAGGCCUAACACAUGCAAGUCGAACGCGAAAGUCCUUCGGGAUGAGUAGAGUGGCGGACGGGUGAGUAACGCGUAGGAAUCUAUCCUGUAGUGGGGGAUAACGUUUCGAAAGGAACGCUAAUACCGCAUACGCCCCACGGGGGAAAGCGGGGGGAUCUUCGGACCUCGUGCUAUAGGAGGAGCCUGCGUCGGAUUAGCUGGUUGGUGAGGUAAAGGCUCACCAAGGCGACGAUCCGUAGCUGGUCUGAGAGGAUGAUCAGCCACACCGGAACUGAGACACGGUCCGGACUCCUACGGGAGGCAGCAGUGGGGAAUAUUGCGCAAUGGGCGAAAGCCUGACGCAGCCAUACCGCGUGUGUGAAGAAGGCCUUCGGGUUGUAAAGCACUUUCAGUGGGGAGGAAAAGCUGGUGGCUAAUAUCCAUCGGCCGUGACGCUACCCACAGAAGAAGCACCGGCUAAUUCCGUGCCAGCAGCCGCGGUAAAG
rnacentral:rRNA from 1 species